rnacentral:rRNA from 1 species
CCUACGGGCGGCAGCAGUGGGGAAUAUUGGACAAUGGGCGCAAGCCUGAUCCAGCCAUGCCGCGUGAGUGAUGAAGGCCCUAGGGUUGUAAAGCUCUUUUGUGCGGGAAGAUAAUGACGGUACCGCAAGAAUAAGCCCCGGCUAACUUCGUGCCAGCAGCCGCGGUAAUACGAAGGGGGCUAGCGUUGCUCGGAAUCACUGGGCGUAAAGGGUGCGUAGGCGGGUCUUUAAGUCAGGGGGGAAAUCCUGGAGCUCAACUCCAGAACUGCCUUUGAUACUGAGGAUCUUGAGUUCGGGAGAGGUGAGUGGAACUGCGAGUGUAGAGGUGAAAUUCGUAGAUAUUCGCAAGAACACCAGUGGCGAAGGCGGCUCACUGGCCCGAUACUGACGCUGAGGCACGAAAGCGUGGGGAGCAAACAGGAUUAGAUACCCGAGUAGUC